rnacentral:rRNA from 1 species
UACGAGGGGUGCAAGCGUUAUUCGGAUUUAUUGGGCGUAAAGGGUGUGUAGACGGUUUAUUAAGUCACUUGUUAAAUUCUUUGGCCUAACUGAAGGUGUGCAAGUGAUACUGAUAGGCUAGAGGGUGGAAGAGAGAAGUGGAAUUCUCGGAGUAGCGGUAAAAUGCGUAGAUCUCGAGAGGAACACCAAUGGCGAAGGCAGCUUCUUGGUCCAUUUCUGACGUUCAUACACGAAAGCGUGGGGAGCAAACAGGAUUAGAUACCCUGGUAGUCCACGCUGUAAACGAUGAUCACUAGACGUUAGUUCUGUUUAACAGAAUUAGUGUCGUAGCUAACGCGUUAAGUGAUCCGCCUGGGGAUUACGGUCGCAAGACUAAA